rnacentral:rRNA from 1 species
AGAGUUUGAUCCUGGCUCAGGAUGAACGCUAGCUACAGGCUUAACACAUGCAAGUCGAGGGGCAGCAUGGUCUUAGCUUGCUAAGGCCGAUGGCGACCGGCGCACGGGUGAGUAACACGUAUCCAACCUGCCGUCUACUCUUGGACAGCCUUCUGAAAGGAAGAUUAAUACAAGAUGGCAUCAUGAGUCCGCAUGUUCACAUGAUUAAAGGUAUUCCGGUAGACGAUGGGGAUGCGUUCCAUUAGAUAGUAGGCGGGGUAACGGCCCACCUAGUCUUCGAUGGAUAGGGGUUCUGAGAGGAAGGUCCCCCACAUUGGAACUGAGACACGGUCCAAACUCCUACGGGAGGCAGCAGUGAGGAAUAUUGGUCAAUGGACGAGAGUCUGAACCAGCCAAGUAGCGUGAAGGAUGACUGCCCUAUGGGUUGUAAACUUCUUUUAUAAAGGAAUAAAGUCGGGUAUGUAUACCCGUUUGCAUGUACUUUAUGAAUAAGGAUCGGCUAACUCCGUGCCAGCAGCCGCGGUAAUACGGAGGAUCCGAGCGUUAUCCGGAUUUAUUGGGUUUAAAGGGAGCGUAGGCGGACGCUUAAGUCAGUUGUGAAAGUUUGCGGCUCAACCGUAAAAUUGCAGUUGAUACUGGGUGUCUUGAGUACAGUAGAGGCAGGCGGAAUUCGUGGUGUAGCGGUGAAAUGCUUAGAUAUCACGAAGAACUCCGAUUGCGAAGGCAGCCUGCUAAGCUGCAACUGACAUUGAGGCUCGAAAGUGUGGGUAUCAAACAGGAUUAGAUACCCUGGUAGUCCACACGGUAAACGAUGAAUACUCGCUGUUUGCGAUAUACAGCAAGCGGCCAAGCGAAAGCGUUAAGUAUUCCACCUGGGGAGUACGCCGGCAACGGUGAAACUCAAAGGAAUUGACGGGGGCCCGCACAAGCGGAGGAACAUGUGGUUUAA